UACAUGUUUUAUCAUUAAAUACCAUAACUAAAAAUCACCACACUAAAAUUAGAAAAAUAUACCUUAUAUAACAUUGCAAUACUUUAUUUAGGAGCAGAGUUAUAGGCAUAAAUACUUCUUUUCCUAUAUGCAUAUACCUUAUAUGACAUUAUAAUUAAUCCCUUAUUUGGGAGCAAAGUUAUGAGCAUAAACUUUCUGUAGGUCAUAACAAUCUCAAAUUUCUUUUGUGAAAAAAUUGUUAGCUUUUACCAGGCAAAUUUCUCCAAAUGAGUUAAAAGAAAAAUUAUCAUUUUACACCACCCACUAUAGCUUCAUGUCUAGACUUUUUUUGGGGAGCAAACUAAAUAUAUUAUUAAAGUGCAAUUUCUGCAUGCACAUUUUUAAUGCGAUUAAUUUAUCUUUUCUUCUGGUCGAAGCCGAUUUGGCUUGCACCCGAACAGUUGAAUUACUUCAAUUAAUCUAACUUAAUGCUUCAUAUUAUUAUGAAAAUUAUCU
rnacentral:lncRNA from 1 species